AAUUUCCAGGAAAAUUGAUGGAACUCGAAGCAACCAUUCUGAGCGAGUUCCUUGUGUCAGAAAAACAGCUCCUCUCUGGCACCAUGUCUACCUGCAUGAAGAUAAUGAACUAAACCUUUGAAAUUGCAAGCCAGCCCGAAUUAAAUGUUUUCUUUAUAAUAGUUGCAAUAGUCAUGGUGUCUAUUCACAGGAAUAGAAAUCCUAACUAUCACAGUCUUCAACUACUUAAAGCCUUGGUCUCCUUUGUUUCCUUUUCAAUGGUUUCAUUUCAUUACCCUGUGCUUCUUAUUUAACAAUUUAUUGGAUGAGACCUUUAUCAAACAUCAGGCUCAGCAAGAGACGGCACUGGAUCAACUGGAACUGGAGAUAUGGAAGGAUGUGAGCCCUCAUGCAGUACUAGAAACUGAACUAGGGUCCUCUGCUAUAUACUAAGUUCUCUUAAUUGCUGAGCCAUCUCUCCACCACCUCCACUGAUUAUACAGUACAUAAUAGAAUUUUGAGCACUUUUUCUGAGUUUUUCUUGUUCUUCAUACUUUUGGUAACCAGCUAAAAACUUUCUACCCUGUCCUAGGUAAUGAAGUUUAAACCUUAUGUUUUCUUCUAAAAGUUUAUAGUUCUAGUUCUCAAUUAAGUCCUUCACAUAUUUUGAACUAAUUUUUAGGUAGAAAUGAGAGCAGCAUCCAAUUUCAUUGCUUUGCAUGUAAAAAUUUAUCUGCCCUUUCACUAAUUGUUUUUCUCUUUAGACAGUGUGAACUGAAGGUCCCUGAAAAAUGAUUCACAUCUAAAUUAAGUUUCUAGAAUGCGCAUCCAUCUCGACUGUGGGAAGUUGGGAAUGCUACAGAGCCAGAGAUAAAUAGCCCAUAUUUGUCUUUCACACUGCAUAACAGCCACUCAUUCCUUGCCUUGUUUUUGGAUGUAACACCCACAACUACUACUUUGCUAUAUACACAUAUAUGGUAUUCCCAGGACUGCAUUUAUAACAUUCCUUUAAAAAAUCUUUUAAUUCUUCUGUAAUGAUAAGAAACCAUAUAAUCAGUUCUAUAUUGGAACUUAUUAUAGGGCAAUCUUAGUCCAGGUUUCAGUGUUGUUUGUCACUCACACUUGGUUCAAGUGUAAAAUAUUUCCCAUAUACUUUGAAGUGAGAGCAUUGUAUGAUGUCAACACUGGGAUGAGGAAAGACAUACUCUAUCUUUGGCCACAGGCUCCCCUUGAUGUGCUUUUAAUAACUAGUCUGGAGAAACCAUUUAUUUAUUGGAUAACUUUUUAUUUAUCCAAUUUUAAAAAUAUAAGCAUCAUAUUUAGAAUAUUCACUGAUUUCACUGACAAAGGGGUUCUAGCUUCUCGUGUAGUUGUUCUGAUAACAACACUGUCCCUUAGGUUUGAUGUCUCAAACUGUUGUCAUAACACUGUGAGUACUCAGAUGUUCCAAAGCACUGGAAGUUGACAUCAGAUCACCAUGGACAAUCUCGCUAUUCCUUGAUUUAGUUAACAUAUGCAGAGGGAAAAACUCACAUUAAUAUUAAAAUAUGAUAACAACUUACAUGAUUCAGACAAUUAUUAAGCCAGUAUCUGAUACUUAUAAAAUAAAAUACGGUUUUAGGAAAUAGAGGGCUAGCUCAGCAGUUAAGAGUACAUAUUUGUCUUAUAAACUACCUGGGUGUGGUUCCCAGCACCCACAUGGUAAGUCACAACCAUUUAUAAUUCCACUUCCAAUGGAUUUAAUGCUAACUUUUGACUACCACAAGCACACACAUGACAUGCAAAUAUAAACAUAUGUGGUAAAAACAAUAAUAUACAUCAAAAUAAAUAAAUUAGUAUAAAAGCGAAAAAAAAUUUUAGUUGUAGAUUUCCUGGUACAACAUUCCCAGAAUACUAACAUAAGCUUAUACCUUCCCAUAGUAUGCAUAAUUUAGAGACAGGAAUUAAACCCAUCUAUCUUCCGGCAGUGAGUAGUUUUUGCUAAUGAAUUUGACCAAAAACUUCAUAAAAAUGAUACAGUAGGUGACCUAAUGGGAAAUCUAUGAAAUAUCUUUAAGUGAUUCUGUUUAAUUUUCAUAUAUUAAAGUGUCACCUAGAAUUAUGCAAAAUUAUAAGAUAUAAACUUGUCCAUCAAGGGCUUUAUCAUUUAAACAUGGGUGUGAUUUGAGCAGUUGAUUCUUUUACAAUAAUACAGGAUCUUGAUGUCAUAUAAAUACAUGCUGGUAAAAGAAUACAAAUAAAAUGGUUAAAAAUUCAAA